rfam:Picea glauca, whole genome shotgun sequence.
AAAAACAAGAUUUUGAUCCUAGCUCAGAACGAACACUAGUUAUAUUCUUAAAAAAUGCAAGUUGAACAUGGAUUGCUUCCCCAUCCAUCCAUGUGGGGGAAGGGAAAGAGGAAUGAACCCCUCCUAGCACAUGCUCACUCACUCAAAUGAUAUGCAAGUGGUACAUUGGGCGUGGGGCAUAGCAAGAAAAGUGGUGAACAGGUGCGUAGUGUGUGGGAAUUUGUUGAACAGUUCACUCCAAAUCCUGAAUAAUUCAGAAAGAAAGCUAAUUUGCAUUGUUUGAUGAGCUUGCGUAGUAUCAGGUAGUUUUUUAGGUAAAGGAUGACCAAUCCAAUGAUGCUUAGUUAGUCUUUUCAGAUGAUCAGCCACACUGGGACUGAGACAUGACCCAGACUCCCUUGGGAGGAAGUAAUGGGGAAUAUUGGACAAUGGGCUUAUGCCCGAUCCAACAAUAUCACAUGGGUGAAGAAGGGCAUUGUUGCUUGUCAAGAUAUUUCGUCGAGUUUUGAUCAUGAUAGGACUCGAGGAAGAAGCCUUGGCUAAAUCCAUGCCAACAGUCGUGAUAAGAUAGUGGGGUAAGUGUUAUUCAAAGUGACUGGAUGUAAAUGGCAUGUAGGCGAUGAAAAGGGUGGAAAGUGAAAGUCACCAAAGCACUCACGGGGUUCUUUCUUUACCAUUUCACUUGAGUGAGAUAGGGGAGACUGGAAUUUCAUGUGGAGGGAUAAAAUCCUAAGAUAUAUGAAGGAACACCAACUGUGAAGGCAGCUCUUUGGGUCCCCACUGACACUGGGGUGCAAAAGCAUAGGGAGAAAACAUUAUCAGAUAACUUGGUAGUCUAUGUCAUAAGUGAUGAGUGUUCAUCCUUGGUAUGCAUUCCUACUAGGUAGGAUUAGGAUCAAGGGCCCAGCUAACGCAUGAAACACUUCUCUUAGGGAGUGCGGUUGCAAGACUGAAACUAAAAGGAAUUGACGGGGGCCUGCACAAGUGGUGGAGCAUGUGGUUUAAUUUGAUACAACAUGAAAAACCUUACCAUCCCUUGACACAUGAGAAAGUGUGCCUAUCCCUAAUGGGAUGGUGUGAAAAUUCAUACAUGUGUUGCAUGGCUAUCGUCAUCUCGUGUCGUGAGAUGUUUGGUUAAGUCCUAUAAUGAGAAAAACCCUCAUUUUUUGUUUCUGAGACAUGCUCCAAUGGAUCAAUGUCAUUGCCCCUUCUCAAUGAAUCAAUAGGGUGAGGCAAGCACCUCUUUUUUAUUGAUGACACUCCUAUGAAAUAAGGUGUGUGUUUCACUGACAAGAGACUACCAAUGAUAUGUUGGAGGAAGGUGAGGAUGAUGUCAAGUCUACAUGGCCCUUCUGGGUUGGGCCACACACAUGUUACAAUGGAAAUGAAAAUGAGAAGCAAGGUUGUAAGGUGGAGUGAAUCCAAAAAGACUACCUCAGUUCGGAUUGUUCUCUGCAACUCGAGAACAUGAAAUUGGAAUCGCUAGUAAUCACGGAUCAACAUGCUAUGGUGAAUAUGUACCUGAGCCAUGUACACACCACCUGUCACACCCUGGGAGUUGAUUUCACCUGAAGCAUCAGACCAACGAUCACCCUAUCUAUAUAUGUUCCACUAGUGUGGCCCACGGAGGUUGGGGUGGUAUUAUUGGUGCAUCCCACAGUGGGGUCUUCGACUGGGGUGAAAUCA